rnacentral:tRNA from 1 species
GGAAAGUGGCUCAGUGGUAGAGUGCUUGCCUUGCAUGCAUGAGGCCCUGGGUUCAAUUCCUCAGUACCA